CCUACGGGUGGCAGCAGUGAGGAAUAUUGGUCAAUGGACGAGAGUCUGAACCAGCCAAGUAGCGUGAAGGAUGACUGCCCUAUGGGUUGUAAACUUCUUUUAUAAAGGAAUAAAACGAGGCACGUGUGCCUUUUUGCAUGUACUUUAUGAAUAAGGAUCGGCUAACUCCGUGCCAGCAGCCGCGGUAAUACGGAGGAUCCGAGCGUUAUCCGGAGUUAUUGGGUUUAAAGGGAGCGUAGAUGGGUUGUUAAGUCAGUUGUGAAAGUUUGCGGCUCAACCGUAAAAUUGCAAUUGAUACUGGCAGUCGUGAGUACAGUUGAGGUAGGCGGAAUUCGUGGUGUAGCGGUGAAAUGCUUAGAUAUCACGAAGAACCCCGAUUGCGAAGGCAGCUUACUAAACUGUGACUGACAUUGAUGCUCGAAAGUGUGGGUAUCAAACAGGAUUAGAUACCCUUGUAGUC
rnacentral:rRNA from 1 species